UACAUGCUCCAAACCACUGAUUCGAAACAAAAGAUUCGUAAAGCUUCAUAACUUUAAGGUUAAACCACUGUAGUCACAUGAACUGUUUUAAAUACAUCUUUAGUAGCUUUCUGGGCACUGAAAGUGUUAUUUGUCUUGCUGGCAAUGCAGGCCUCACUGAGCCAUCGGAUUUUAUGAAAAAUACCUUAAUUUGUGUUCCAAAGAUGAACAAAGGUCUUACGGGUGUGGAACGACAUGAGGGUUGAUUGGCCACCAUUGGGGGUUAGGUAGGCACCUCAGUCAUUUCCUGCUGGUAUUGAGAAUCAAACCAGCAAUCUUCAGGUUACCAGUCUGACUCUCUAACCAUUAGGCCACGAUUAGCUUUCCAGCAUUGGAGAGACCUAAGCAAGAAGGCCUGAAAACGGACGCAGAGUCAUAGAGUUACAGGCAUGCAAACUUUGGAAAAGGAAUAUUUAUGGCACUCAGACAGAAAAAAUAUUAACAAAAUCAAACAUUUCAGCCGGGAACAGUAAGGGAAAAUGUGGACAGCCCCGCCAAGUUCCAUGUGGGAAAAAAAUGUGAAUAAUCAUUGGCUACCUUCACACCGUCAGUUUUUGUGAGUCUUGACGUUCACACAGAAACUUACAGUAGCGUCUCGAAUACUGCCUGUAUGAAUGUGCAAUGUGAGUCAAGCCCGUAUUGUCUUAUCAGUAACCGUAGCUAGCAACUGUGACUAAAAUAAUAUCAAAGAUGGCGAUGUCCAUAAAACUGAAGUCUUAUCACUUUUGAGAAGACAAGAGUCCAAUCAAGCCGCAAGAUCAUUGGUCAAAUCUCCAUUUGCAUGUUAUACAGUCAGUCUAUGCCAAGCAUUAAUAUGAAUGGUGACAGCUAUUAUAGGAGUGUCUUGAUGCAGUGCAGGAGAAGCAGUAAAAAAAUGCUGUCUGCUGUGCUGUCAAACUUUAAUUAAUGCUGUCACGUAACAAAUUUGCUUCUCACAGGUAAAAUUAAAUGAAUUACUAAUUACAACACUGAAAUAAUGUAAAGCCUGUACAAAUAGCCUACUAGAAAUUGUGAAAUAAUGCAAUUAAUUGGCAAUCAUGUAAUAAACAGUACACAUUUCAAUUAUCCAUUAUUACUUUUAUGUCACUUUGGUUGUUUCCAAUUAUAAGUCCAGAUAUUUUAAUCAAAUACACAAAUUUGUUUGAAGAAACAAAUUAGCCAGAGAUCAUUUAUCAUGAUUAGAAGAUCUGGCAUCUGUCAAAUCAUCUCAGAUGUAUUAAAGGAUUAGUCCAUUUUCAAAUAAAAAUUUCCUGAUAAUUUACUAAAUUGUCAUAUACAACAUGCUAGUGCAAGUAUAUAACAGUUAGUUCAAACUUUGACCUGUGGAGGGCAAUAAUCCACUUAGCAGCGUCUACACUGCCGGAUUUCUAAUAGAGAAGAAGAAGAAGAAGAAGAAGAAGAAGAAGAGAGCUAGUUCAAGAUGAGCAUCUAUGGUUAAAACGUAUAUAAUUUUUAAUUUUUUUUUAGAAAAGAACUGAUCGUUUCACUAGAUAAGACCCUUAUUCCUUGUCUGGUAUCGUUUAAAGCCCUUUGAAGCUGCACUGAAACUGUAAUUUUGACUUUCAACCGUUUGGGGCCAAUUGAAGUCCACUAUAAGGAGAAUAAUCCUGUAAUGUUUUCAUCAAAAACCUUAAUUUCUUUUCGAAUGAAGAAAGAAGGACAUGGACAUCUUGGAUGACAUGGGGGUGAGUAAAUUAUCAGGAAAUUUUUAUUUGAAAGUGGACUAAUCCUUUAAGCGAGGUACAAAGAAUGGACCCCUGGUACUCUGUGAAAUACACAAUAAUAAACAAACAGGAAACAGUACCUGGACACUGUGUUUAUUGUGGCUGGGGAUAAAGCAACACUGAAGAAAGUAUUGCCUAUAUAUUACCAACACAUAAGAACUUCUUAUCACUAUUCACUGUUAUACUCCAUUCCACAAUGUAUAUAAAGCCCUCCCACGUGCUCCAUACACCAAAUCAAUACAGUUCUUGAACAUUCCACUAGGAUCUGACCAGAUAGCUUUCUUCUGACAUCCUUCACUGUCCCUGCUUUUCCAGAAAUACAGUAUCU